ensembl:lncRNA CRYBB2P1 crystallin beta B2 pseudogene 1
GAGUCCAGAAUGAGAAGAAGGAAAGCGGGGCCGGUUCCUUCAGGACCCGCCUCAGGGGGCACCGCGGCGGCUUGGGGACCACUUGGAGCCCCGUCCUGGGGAGAAAACAGCUCACGUCUAUGGCCCUGACUGCUUAGGCGGGAGCUGCGUGCAGCUCAGCUUCUCCGGGGCAUUUUUUUCUACACGCUGGGUGAGCUAUGAACAGGCCAACUGCAAGGGCGAGCAGUUUGUGUUUGAGAAGGGCGAGUACGCCCACUGGGACUGGUGGACCAGCAGCCAGAGGACAGACUCAGCAGCCUGAGGCCCAUCAAAGUGGUGGUUGGUGCCCGCCCCCCGCGCCCAAGGGUUGGGCAACUCCCGUCAUUGCUCAAUAACCAAUAGCCAUCAGAAAUACUACAAGAAAUUAUGAGUUUGGGGCUGGAGGAGAAGGUGGUUUAGCUCUUCUUCAAGACUCGUGCCAGUGACAGCCAAGAGCACAAGAUCAUCCUCUAUGAAAACCCCAACUUCACCGGGAAGAAGAUGGAAAUCAUAGAUGACGAUGUACCCAGCUUCCACGCCCAUGGCUACCAGGAGAAGGUGUCAUCUGUGUGGGUGCGGAGUGGCAUGUGGGUUGGCUACUAGUACCCUGGCUACCGUGGGCUGCAGUACCUGCUGGAGAAGGGAGACUACAAGGACAGCAGCGACUUUGGGGCCCGUCACCCUCAGGUACAGUCCGUGCGCUGCAUCCACGACAUGCAGGGGCACCAAUGUGGUGCCUUCCACCCCUCCAACUAGUGCCCACCCCACCAUGCCUCCUUCCCAGGACCCAGGUCUGCUGCCCAGGAACCCUCCAGACCUCCCAGAGAGUGAAUGAAGUGUGACUUGCAACUUG